CCCUUAGAUGUUCUGGGCCGCACGCGCGCUACACUGAUGCAUUCAACGAGUCUAAAACCUGCUCUGAUAGGGGUGGGUAAUCUUUUGAAUGUGCAUCGUGAUUGGGAUAGAUGAUUGCAAUUUUUCAUCUUCAACGAGGAAUGCCUAGUAAACGCAAGUCAUCAGCUUGCAUUGAUUACGUCCCUGCCCUUUGUACACACCGCCCGUCGCUCCUACCGAUUGAAUGAUCCGAUGAAUAUCAUGGAUUGAGGAUGCAAGCAGGUUCGCCUGUCUUCAUCUCCGAGAAGUGAAGUAAAUCUUAUCAUUUAGAGGAAGGAGAAGUCGUAACA
rnacentral:rRNA from 1 species